AGAGAUCUGAGCUCAAGACUGGGGGAAAAGGAAAAACUGAGAGAUACCAAAACCAUCAGAUUCACCCAUCGCUAUUUGUAAAGUAUCCCCGUUUCAACUGGGAGGUUGUGGGGCUUUGUAGCCAAGCAGUAAUGGUUUGGGAGAGAGGUUUUUCCUGGAAACCUUUGCCUGGCUGCUGUACGCGUAGGAGGAAAUGGACUGAACAGGUGGGGGAUUCCCCCUCUUCAGGCUCAAGCUAUUUAACUGGCAGAGCAGAGGAAGGCACAGGAUCUCUUUCCUGCCCUUGAUGCAAAGCAUGUUGCUUCCCGUGGGCCUCACUCUGCUCCUCUGCCUGGGCACCGUGAGCGGAUUCCUCCCCAACCACGAAUCAGGGGGCAUCGAUUCGACAGUCUUCACAGAUGCCGACAUCACAGAAGAAGGGGUCUUGCGGGCUGUUGCCCAUUACAUGGAGACGAACCCACUGCCCGGAAGAUCUCCCAUGGCCCCGGGAGAGCUGGAAAACAUGAAAUCGCUGACAGCGACUGAACUGUUCAGGGCCUUUUCCAAAGGUAGGCUUGGAAAACGGGAGUGUGAAGACUAGAUGUCACGGCCCUUGCAGAGGAUUGCUUCUGCGCAGCCUAUUCCUUUUCUAUAUCUCCACUGCUUCUUUUCUUUUUUUAUAAUAUUUUUUAUUAAUUUUAACAUAUAAAUUAUAAAACGUACCACAAAACUUAUCACUUCUACAAUCUUUUUGGGCUUCCAUCAGCACCUCUGAUGAUCCACCGUUUUAACCACUUCUUAGGCAUUUCUUAACUUUAUAUUGCCUUUACAUCUCUUAACAAAUCAUCCUUCUCCAUUUUUACAACACGUCUAAUAAUACUCCUCACAAAACUUCUUGCAACCCUACGAACGUCGCCUGUUCUUCACAAUUACUUUUCAAAUAGUCCAUAAAUUUACUCCAGUCUUCCAUGAAUUUCUGGUCUCGUCGGUUUCGAAUCCUUCCUGUUAGUUUAUCUAAUUCUGCAUAGUCCAUUAACGUCAUCCUCCAUUCUUCAAUCGUCGGUAACUCGUCUUGCUUCCGAGAAGAGCAAGUCUUGAGAGCCAGUGUGGUGUAGUGGUUAAGAGCGGUAGUCUCGUAAUCUGGUGAACCGGGUUCGCUUCCCCGCUCCUCCACAUGCAGCUGCUGGGUGACCUUGGGCCAGUCACACUUCUCUGAAGUCUCUCAGCCCCACUCACCUCACAGAGUGUUUGUUGUGGGGGAGGAAGGGAAAGGAGAAUGUUAGCCGCUUUGAGACUCCUUCGGGUAGUGAUAAAGUGGGAUAUCAAAUCCAAACUCUUCUUUUUCUUCUUGCCUCUUUUCACUUGUUCCCCACCCCGCCAGCUCCUCACCACCCACAUGAAAUUAGGCUGAGGUUCAUGAGCGCCUGGAGGGGACACAGCUUGCCCACCCCAACUUUUGCAUAAGUCGGUGCUGGGGCUGUUUUAAAAAAGCACUUCCAUUUUUUUGUAUGGAUUUCAGGGUUCGAAAACCAGUCAUGCAAUCUGUCCCUGUUUUCUUUUUCUUUAUAUAUAAUUGUUUAUUAAAUUUUCCAUUUUACAAUUUCACAUACUCGUUUUAAAUCCUUAAGAUAUCAGUGGCUUCUCUUCUUCUCUUCCCAUGGUUCGUUUUGCAUAUCAUAAAUCCCUGCAUGUUUUACAAAAACUACACCAUUCAGUAUUCCGUUAUUGCAUCCGUCAAAACUUGUUGACACUGUUGAAUUUAUCUUCAUACUGCCAGCAUUUUCCGCUGUGUACACAACUAUUUCCCAUAUAUUCAAUAAACGUUUUCCAAUAUUCUUUGAACGUAUGUCCUUCUUGUUCUCUUAUUCUAUAUGUUAAGUCUGAGAGUUGUGCUUAUUCUGUCAACUUAAGUUGCCAUUCUUCUCCAAUUCGGACCUCGCUCGUUUUCCAUUUUGGGGCUAACAAAACACGGACUGCAGUUAUAGCAUAAAAAGGGUAAAGGGACCCCUGACCAUUAGGUCCAGUAGUGGCCAGCUCUGGGGUUGUGGCGCUCAUCUCGCUUUAUUGGCCGUGGGAGCCAGUGUACAGCUUCCGGGUCAUGUGGCCACCAUGACUAAGCAGCUUCUGGCGAACCAGAGCAGCACACGGAAACGCCGUUUACCUUCCCGCCGGAGCGGUGCCUAUUUAUCUACUUGCACUUUGACGUGCUUUCAAACUGCUGGGUUGGCAGGAGCAGGGACCGAGCAACAGGAGCUCACCCCGUAGUGGGGAUUCGAACCGCCAACCUUCUGAUCGGCAAGUCCUAGGCUCUGCGGUUUAACCCACAGCGCCACCCGCGUCCCUGCAGUAGUAGCAUACAUACUGGUAAAUAUGGUAAGCUUUUGUGACACCUGUCCCCUUUUUUUCUCGCACAGCUGACGUCUCUCCCAAUCGAUUAGUCAAAGCCAUACAGGAACUCAUCUCUGCAAAUAAUCAAGUGGAGGUCAACUACGCUGAAAACAGUAACUACUUCUUCCACUGUGAAAAGAUUGCCCCAAGUAAGGGGGAGCUGUGCCUUGGGGGAGAGGGGGGUGGAGCUGUGUUUGGGGUGAUGUGGGGAACUGUUCUUGAUUUAAGAGAAACACUGAACUACUUGCUAGCACAGGUGAAAGGUACUUAAUUAGCCAUGCUAUCUACAACAGUCCAUAUUUUUAGAGCUCAUGCUUAGUUUAUCUGUAUAUAUAUAUUUUUUUUUUAUUUUUUUUUUUAUUAUUAUUAUUAUUGUUAUUAUUAUUCCCUGCCCAUCUGCUGGAUUUCACCAGCCACUCUGGGUGGCUUACAACAUAUAGAAAAAAAAUAGUAAAACAUCAAGCAUUAAAAACUUCCCUAUACAGUGGUGCCUCGGGUUACAGAUGCUUCACGUUACAGACGCUUCAGGUUACAGACUCCGCUAACCCAGAAAUAGUACCUCAGGUUAAGAACUUUACCUCAGGAUGAGAACAGAAAUCGUGCUCCGGCACCGCAGCAGCAGCAGCAGUGGGAGGCCCCAUUAGCUAAGGUGGUACCUCAGGUUAAGAACAGUUUCAGGUUAAGAACGGACCUCCAGAACGAAUUAAGUUCUUAACCCGAGGUACCACUGUACAGGGCUGCCUUCAGAUGUCAUCUAAAAGUUGUGUAGUUCUUUAUCUCCUUGACAUCUGACGGGAGGACGUUCCAAAGGGAGGGGGCCACUACCGCGAAGGCCCACUCAGUGUCCGGGUUGAGUGAUGGAGGUGGAGAUGCUUCUUCAGAUUUACCAGGCCACUACUUACAGAAGAUUUGGUUUGCCUAACUCAGGUUAGGAAGCUUCUGGCCCUCCAGAUGUUCUGGAUAUUAUCAUCUCCAGUAACAGCAACAACAAGAAUUUUAUCAUUUAUACCCUGCCCAUCUGGCUGGGUUCCCCCAACCACUCUGGGAGGCUUGUAACACAUAAAAACAAAAAGGUAAAAAGGUAAAGGACCCCUGGACACUUAAAUCCAGUCAAAUGCAACUAUGGGGUUGUGGCGCUCAUCUCACCUUCAGGCCAAGAGAGCCAGUGUUUGUCCGCAGACAGCUUUCUGGGUCAUGUGGCCAGCAUGACUAAAGCGCUUCUGGUGCAACGGGGCACCGUGAUGGAAGCCAGAGCGCAUGGAAACGCCGUUUACCUUCCCGCCGGAGCGGUACCUAUUUAUCUACUUGCACUGGUGUGCUUUCGAACUGCUAGGUUGGCAGGAGCUGGGACAGAGCAACGGGAGCUCACCCUGUCACGGGGAUUCAAACCGCCAACCUUCUCAUCAGCAAGACCAAGAGGCUCAGUGGUUUAGACCACAGCGCCAUGGGAGCUGGAAUCUAACCAUACCUGGAGAAUCCCUAGAGAAAUUCAUUCCAGGGAAGAGUGCAUGGCUUCCAGUUAGGCUUGAGACUUGACAUUUCUCCAGUUUAGAAGUUAAGAAUUCAGAGGAGGAACAGGGAUAUAAAAGGUUCUCCUGUGUUAUCUAUUCCCAGGUAUAACGCAGAUGCGAAACCUGAGGGACUCCAUGCUAAGUAGCUUAAAGGAACCCGUGAGUUCAUCGGAUUUGGAAUCGGCUCGACAAAGUGCUGGACAAGCUCUGCACAUCCUUCAACAAUUCUACAGUAACACCAACUGGCCUGAGCUGGGGAAAGGUGGAACUUACGAUCACCUCUGUAAGUCAAAAUGGAUCUGCAAAACUCUCUCUUGUUUUCAAAGUUAAACAUAAGAAGUACAUCAGUACCUUGGAAGCCAUUCCAGAAGACCGUUUGACUUCCAAAACGUUUGGAAACCAAAGCGCAGCUUCUGAUUGGCUGCAGGAAGUUCCUGCAGCCAAUCGGAAGCUGCAGAAGCCAAGUCAGACAUUUGGCUUCCAACAAAGCGUUCAAAAACCGGAACACUCACUUCCGGGUUUCGAUCGUUCGGGAGCCGAAACGUACGCAUACCAAGGCGUUCGACAACCAAGGUACGACUGUAUUACGUCAAAGAAAUAUAGAAGCAUGCCAUGGUUCAUCCAUUUGCCUUCCAGGUCCCCAAACAAUGCUAUACAUAAUCAGUAUAAGAAAUCCAAUAUCAAGUCAUUUGAAAGGUUUCAUUGCAUCCUAAUAUAAAUAUCUCCAAUUUCGUAUUUUUUAUUAUAUAGAUCAUUUGUUUAAAAAUAAAGAAUUUAUUGCAAUUAUGGUAGAAUUCCUCAUUUUUUGCGUUCUUUUAUGACUUUAUUUGUCCCUGACCGGAUGAGUGAGCUUGAUCAUAUGCAAAACUAGGCAAAUACAUUCAAGAGAGUCAGUGGGGAUCUGCAAGACUGAUCCAAAGCACCUUUUGCAUUUCUUUUUUUAUCUACCUGGUUUUUAAAACGGACAUCCCUUCUUUCCACUCAUGCUCUCAGAUCACCAUAUAGAAUUAUCAUAAACCUGCCCAAGCUGCCGAUUGUCAGGUUUACAUGGAAUUCAACUGAGUCUAAAGCUGUGUACCCGCCAUAUAUUUAAAGCACAUUCCCCCUCUCCAAAGAAUCCUGAGAACUGCAGUUUACUCACCACAGAGCUACAACUCCCAGCGCCCUUGGCAAACUACAGUUCCCAAUAUUCUUUUUUGGGGGGAGACACACAUGUGCUUUGACUGUAUGGUAUGUAAAGGUAAAGGGACCCCUGACCAUUAGGUCCAGUCGUGGCCGACUCUGGGGUUGCGGCGCUCAUCUCGCUUUACUGGCCGAGGGAACCAGCGUACAGCUUCUGGGUCAUGUGGCCAGCAUGACUAAGCCGCUUCUGGCGAACCAGAGCAGUGCACAGAAACGCUGUUUACCUCCCCGCUGGAGUGGUACCUACCGGUAUUUAUCUGCUUGCACUUUGACGUGCUUUUGAACUGCUAGGUGGGCAGGAGCUGGGACCGAGCAACAGGAGCUCACCCCGUCGCGGGGAUUCGAACCGCCGACCUUCUGAUCGGCAAGCCCUAGGCUCUGUGGUUUAACCCACUGCGUCCCCGUAUGGUAUGUACACAGACUAAAAUAGGAUUUUUUUUCUCCCAUUAUGUUUGCCCUACAGUAAACCCAGCCAGUCCUGCUUUCCCCGUUGCUCCUGCUUCUAAGGAAACCUGUCGCGACUGCAGCAAAGAUGCAAGGUAAGAAACCAUGGGCACGCUUGGGUGAUGGUUGAGAGGGAGAAACGGAUGCUUGUUCUAUUGUGGCCAUGCAGGCAGAAAACAACAGAGGAGUGCCACUGAUUUGUGUUGCUCCGUAGCACCUCAGAUUGCCCCUCGCGCAUAAGUUGUGUAAGUGGGGAGCAGCCUUCAAAUGGUAAAUUUAUUUCUAAGCAGCGCAUUUACCAACUUCCACGUUCUCUGUUUAACAGCAACCAGUUUGUGUGCGAUGGAAACAUCCUAGUGAACGACCUGCUCACAAGCGGGUACAAGUUGUCAGCAUCAUGCAGGCGUAAACCAAAAGGUAAGACCAGCGAUUGUCGCUGGGAUUUCCUGUCAGUUGUUGAGCAUUUUCAUUUUCUUUUCAUGCCAUUGAAAAAUGCAUGGAGGAUAGGUGGACACGAGAAAGGCAACUUCUGAGUUCAUUGCAUGUCUGCACCUACCUCCUACAUGCUGACUAAGAGAUAAGGACUUCUCGGUGGUGACUCCCUGGCUAAAGGAGUUUGUUUGCUGCCCAGUCAGCAUGGCCAGUGGUCAAGGCUUGUGUCCAGCAACAACUUCUGGAGAGCCACCGAUUCCCCACCACUGAUGUGAAGACUAAAAUGUCCACCUCAUUCCCAUAACUGAAGCUGAUGACCCUCACAACUGUGUAUCCCUAAAUAAUAAUAAUAAUAGUAACAAUAGUAAUAGUAAUUUAUUAUUUAUACCCCGCCCAUCUGGCUGGGUUUCCCCAGCCACUCUGGGCGGCUUCCAACAAGACACUAAAAUACAAUAACCUAUUAAACAUUAAAAGCUUCCCUAAACAGGGCUGCCUUCAGAUGUCUUCUAAAAGUCUGGUAGCUGUUUUUCUCUUUGACAUCUGGUGGGAGGGCGUUCCACAGGGCAGGCGCUACUACCAAGAAGGCCCUCUGCCUGGUUCCCUGUAACUUGGCUUCUCGCAGCGAGGGAACCGCCAGAAGGCCCUCAGCACUGGACCUCAGUUUCCGGGCAGAAUGAUGGAGGUAGAGACGUUCCUUCAGGUAUACUGGACCGAGGCCAUUUAGGGCUUUAAAGGUCAGCAUCAACACUUUGAAUUGUGCUCGGAAACGUACUGGGAGCCAGUGUAGGUCUUUCAAGACCGGUGUUAUAUGGUCUCGGCGGCAGCUCCCAGUCACCAGUCUAGCUGCCGCAUUCUGGAUUAGUUGUAGUUUCCGGGUCACCUUCAAAGGUAGCCCCACAGAGAGCGCAUUGCAGUAGUCUAAGCGAUAGAUAACCAGAGCAUGCACCACUCUGGCAAAACAGUCUGCGGGCAGGUAGGGUCUCAGCCUGCGUACCAGGUGGAGCUGGUAAACAGCUGCCCGGGACACAGAACUGACCUGCGCCUCCAUGGACAGCUGUGAGUCCAGAAUGACUCCCAGGCUGCGCACCUGGUCCUUCAGGGGCACAGUUACCCCAUUCAGGACCAGGGAGUCCUCCACACCCACCCGCCUCCUGUCCCCCCAAAACAGUACUUCUGUCUUGUCAGGAUUCGACCUCAAUCUGUUAACUUAAAUGAUGCAGCCUAGCAAUUCUUCUCCUCCUCCUCCUCCUCCUCCUUUACAUUUAUAUAUCACCUUUAUUUUCGAAGGAUCUCAAGAUAGUGUACAUGGUUCUCCUCCUCCCCAUUUCAUUCUCACAGCAACCCUGUGAGGUAGACUAGGCUGAGAGACAGUGGCUGGUCCAAGGUCACCCAGUGAGCUUCAUGACUGAGUAAGGAUUCGAACCCUGCUCUCCCAGGUCCCAGUUCAACACUCUAACUAUUACGCUGCACUGGCUCUUAUGAAGAAGAAGAGUUUGGAUUUGAUAUCCUGCUUUAUCACUACCCGAAGGAGUCUCAAAGCAGCUAACAUUCUCCUUUCCCUUCCUCCCCCACAACAAACACUCUGUGAGGUGAGUGGGGCUGAGAGACUUCAGAGAAGUGUGACUGGCCCAAGGUCACCCAGCAGCUGCAUGUGGAGGAGCGGGGAAGCGAACCCGGUUCACCAGAUUACCAGUCCACCGCUCUUAACCACUACACCACACUGGCUCUCACUUAUGUCUCCUUCAUUCUCUUUCCUAUAUUCUUUCUGUAGGCAAAUGUGGACAUGGAGGAAGAAAUGACCCGGCCGAAAUGUUCCCUACCACGGGGGGGAUCAACAAGGAGACAACUGACCCCCGGCUCUCCCCGCACUAUCAGUUGCAUCAACAAGCAGCUGAACUGGCCAUACAAGCCACAAGGGACUUCUUUGUAGGAGAUGGUAUGGUUCAUUGACCUUUCAGCACAGGGAUAAAUAAUACCUUUUUCUUCUUCCAGGCCUUUUAUGACCUUGAUAUAGUUGCAACCCUUGUGGUGGUUUUAGCUCUUGUGAUUUGUUUUGGCUGUGGCUGUCAUUAAAUUAUGGGACUCCCUCCCCACAGAGGUGCAUCACACACCUUCAUCGUAUGGUGUUUGUUGUGCUCUGAAGGCACGCUUGUGACACAUGAUAUAGACAUGGAUCAUUAGACACCACCUUGUUCCUGUAAUUGUUUUAAACUGUUUCUUCGCGUAGCGUUUUGAACUGUUGUGACUUGCCCUGAGACCUUACAGUGAAGGGUGGGAAAUAGAUAAACAAAUAGGCCCAUGGACCGAUUCCUCACCCUGGACCUAUCGCUUUUGUUCUUUUGCCCAUAAAGACCAUGUCACCAUCCACCAUGCCAGUCUGAGACAAGGUAUUGUCCAAUGAAAAUAGGGAGGUCCUAAGGAAAAGUGGAUAAGCAUAACCUGUUUUUACUCCAUUGCUGUUGUUUUUCAGGGUACGGCCUGCUGGACCAGGUGGGCAGUGAUACCUUUAAGAGGUUUUUCAACUUGGAAGGCUAUUCGCUCACCUUUGUAAUAGACACAACUGGCAGCAUGUCGGAGGAUAUCCACCAUGUCAUAACCACCUGCAUCAACCUCCUCCAGGAAUUUUCCAACUCCCCGGAUAAACCCUUUAACUACAUUCUUGUGCCUUUCAACGAUCCAGGUGAGAGGGCAAAAAGGCAGAACUGGUUCUUCCCACGCUAAGUCUGCUUAGUCUGAAAUUGCCUGCCUUCCUUUGCUCUGCUUUUUUUCGGAGAAUCCAAAUAACAUUGUUGCUCACCUGUUCUUUUGUUAAGUGACUUCAAAUGAUAUUUUGGUUAAAUUAAUAUACAGGCAACUCCCCCAUUUGUGUGGGGGUUACGUUCUGGGUCAUCAUGCAUGUCGGUGCAGCGUAAGCCCACCCCACCCCAUUCUGCCCCCUCCCUGCCCCAUUCCAGGACCAUAAAUGGUCACGCAUGCCUUGGUUGCACACAAAAUGGUCAUUCCCAUAAUUCUGUUCCGCUUGGUAUGUAAAAUAAGUGUAAAAUUGCAUAGGAAUAGUUAAAAAUGACUGCCAAGUACUUGCAGUUAUAUAUUAUGUAUUUAUAUUGUUUGUUGUUUGUUGCUGUUGUUAUGUAGCAUUACCUGACAUUUUCAGAAGGCAACAUUAGAAUUCUGUGGUUUCCCCAAAGCAUUUUAUGUCCUUCUUCACUAGACGUACCAUAUUUUUCGCUCUAUAGGACGCACCUUGUUUUAGAGGGGGAGAACAAGAAAAAAAAAAUCUCCCCCUCUCUGCUCAGCGCCCCUUCAGCGAAGCAGCAGGAGAAACGGAGCCCCUUCCAUUUAUCCUCCCACUUUGCUGAAGGGGCGCUGCGCAGCUCUCCCUUUCUGCUGAAGCCAGGAAAGUCUUGCUCUCCUGGCUUCAGCAAAAAGAACCCAAAGCCUCCAAAGCACAGCGGGACCUCGCGCUGCACUCCGGAGGCUUCAGGCAGCUAUCCCUGAAGCCUGGAGAGCGAGAGGGGUCGGUGCGCACCGAUCCCUCUCGCUCUCCAGGCUUCAGCGAAAGCAACGUGAAGCCUCCGGAGCGCAGAGGGAGUGCUCCCUUUGCGCUUCGGAGGCUUCGCGUUGCUAUCGCUGAAGCCAAGGAGCUUGCAUUCGCUCCAAAGGACGCACACACAUUUCCCCUUAAUUUUUGGAGGGGGAAAAGUGCGUCCUAUAGAGCGAAAAAUACGGUACAUUGACCAAGCUAAACAUUGACUAAUCACAAAAAUAAUAUCAGGUUUGAAUUCUUCUCACACACACCCCCCCCAAAAAAACCCGUAUUUUAAGACCCCUCGCUGAAGAAAUUUGCCGAAAGUAAGUUUCACCCCAAAAAAUGACAUACCCUACGUGACCCAGCUUAAGGUAUGUCUCUGCCUGCCAGCUCUCCACUGCAGAUACUCAGUCCCUCUCAUAUCUAUCCCUGCAGAUGUUGGCCCAGUCCAAGUGACUCAGGAUGCGGAUGAGCUUAAGACCUUGAUCUCUAACCUCAGACCUACGGGUGGCGGUGACUGCCCAGAAAUGUCUUUGAGUGGCCUGAAGUUGGCUUUGGAACACAGCUUGCCAAGGUAAUAGACCUGGCCUUUCCCGCCUUAUUCCUAACAUAAAUAUUCCCGUUACCUUCAUUCCUCCAUUCCUAGUACCUUUGCUUGAGUACCUAGAAGUCACUCCACUCAUUCUCCCUUGCGACCUGGAACUUCUUCCCAGGUCAUCUCCUUGUGGUCACCUCUAUUCUUUCAAAUCCCCACCACCACCAGUUAAGCCAUCAAAACUCCAGUCCUCCCCCACCUGCCCCCAACAACAAUGGUGCCCAAGUAUGUAUUGAGUGGCCAUGUUCCAACGAUCAUACCUCCGUUAAAUAAGCUGCGGUAGGAAGGAGCCUCAUGAACAUGCGCACAACCACUUUAUGUGAACCAGAAAAUGAACCAGUUAAUUUCCCAUUAACCUCUAGAACAUAAGAAGAGGUCUACUGGAUCAGACCAGAGGCCGAUCUAGUCCAGCAUCUCACUGCUGGACUAUGGGAAGUCCAGACACAAGACAUGGGCGCAUUAGCCCUUCCUCUGAUCCUGAAUCACUGCUAUCAGCCUCCAAUAGCCUCAGGAAUUUCUCUAAUCUCCUUUGAACACUACCUCUUUGUUGUAGAGAAUUCCAUGGUUUAGCUAUGCACAGCAUGAAGAAGUCCUUCAUGCCCCAACGUUCAGCUUUGUUUGAUGGUCUCUUGUUCUGGUAUCAGGGUGGGACCCCUCCGACGGGUAGAAAAACCGCUCUCUCUAUUCGCUUUGGAACACGCCCUGGUAUUACACCUACUUUGAACUAGGGUUUGAUAUCCUGACUUCUUCAGAAGGCAUUAACCAUCGGUUCGGUCAAAAUGGAAAACUCUAGUUAGCUUCCUGAUUUGUUCUCUUCCUUGCACAAAGGUCCAAGAUCUACACCUUUACUGAUGCUGGAGCCAAAGAUGAGCACCUGAAAGAUGAAGUCCAGGUCCUACUUGAUUCAUCCGGGUCUGAAGUGGAUUAUAUUCUCACAGGGUAUUGCUCUAGCCGGAAACGCAGAAGUAUGUAUAGCUCUUGGCAAGCAAUGAGAAAGAGGGCAUUUUCAUUGGUGGGAGAGUGUUCCACAAAUAGAAGGGUGGGAUCCUUGAGAAAUCAGCAGGCCCACCUCCCGACUUAUGCCAAUAUAAUUCUUCUCUGGUGAUCAUUCGUAGCCAAGUAUGAUGGUCUUCCAUAAACACAGUUUUAACAAUGAGUCCAUAAGUGACUGUGGAGGCCAAUUCUGGAUCCACAUUGGUUUCCAGGUGGGAGUUGAUCACAGUGAGGGUUUGCCAAACGUGCCUUCCUCUUAGCGCAUUUCUCGUCCUGAGUUUGAGUGUCUUCGAAGCCCAUGACACCUUUGGUAAAGACUGUUCUCCAAUUGGAGCGCUCACAGGCCAGUGUUUUUUUAGACAAUUUUUAAGAUUUGCCUCAAGAGAAUCUUUAAACCUCUUUUGUUGACCACCAGCAUUACACUUUCCAUUUUUAAGUUCGGAAUAGAGUAGUUGCUUUGGAACAUGAUCAUCAAGCAUCUGCACAACAUGACCAGUCCAGCGAAGUUGAUGUUGAAGAAUCAUUGCUUCUACACUGGUGAUCUUUGCUUCUUCCAGUACACUGGCGUUAGACAGGCGAACCUUAUAAGCAACUGCUGCCAAAACACCCACUGUGGUUUUCCUUUCCUCCUGUGAACACAGAAGAGGAGGAGGCCAGGUUUUGAGACAAAAACCCAUCCUUUCUCUCCACAGGUGCUGCCGAAGAGGCUUCUGGGAGAAGUUAUGCUAACAUCUAUGAAGAACUAGCUGCUUAUUCCGGAGGCUUCUAUGUGAUGACCACCAAAGGCGAACUCGACCAGGUCUUGGGCAUCAUGGAGCUGUCUCUGAAUGCUGCCCCGGUUACGGUGGCCCAUAAGCAAUUGGAUGGGUCUCAGUGCUCCUUCCCUGUGGAUGAGACCCUCACAGAAAUCACAGUCUCCGUCAAGAGCUUGCACUCUUUGGAUUUCACCAUUACUGUGAGGCAACCUUCAGGUACAGCUUGUUCAGAGAAUGAAGCAGAGAGCUUUCCUGCAAAAGUAUGGUGGGGGGAAUGAAAAUUGUGGAGAGUCUUGUGUGGUUUGCCAUCUCAUCCUCUACACAAAUAAUGGUGAACACUUUUUGGCCUGAGGGCUGUGUUUUGGGCUUUUGGGCUACCGUCCAGGGACCCCACGUCAGCGACAGGCAAAGCAAGAGGAGAGCAUUGGCAGUAAAUGUUACCGUUGUGCAGUUAAGAGAGCUUCUACACACAUUCACAGGCCUACAUCUCUAUCAACCACCCAGGGAAAUGAGGGGCAUGAUCCGAGUUCAAGAACAUUUAGGCAAGAGGGGUGGGUACUCAAGGAAGGCAUAUCCUCCAACAUAUCUCUGAUGAAAAUAGGGACGUCUUAUUCCAUAAUAAUAAUUUUAUUAUUUACACCGGAUUUUAUUUUAUUUUAUUUUAUUUAUUUAUUUUAUUAUACAAUUUUAUUAUAUACACUGGAUUUACCCCAGCCACUCUGGGGGCUGGCGGUGGUCCCACCAGACAGCAGCUGCUCCAGCCCCCAGCAACAACCUGUGACGCUUGCCCUGGACAUCAAGAAAGGGAAUACCUAGGUGCACAAUAGGGAAUUUGAACCUGCGUGCCUCCAGUGCAAGUCUGACACUCUAGCCCAGGCAUCCCCAAACUCUUCCCGCCAGGUGUUUUGGGACUACAAUUCCCACCAUCCCUGACCACUGGUCCUGUUAGUUAGGGAUGAUGGGAGUUGUAGUCCCAAAACAGCUGGAGGGCCGAGUUUGGGGAUGCCUGCUCUAGCCACUCUAGCCACCUGAAUCAUACUGGGAUCUUUAAAUCAAACUGGCUCUUUGGAUUUAAGGGAAACCUGGAAAAAAAAAUUAUUAUCAUUUUGUUAAAAAAAAAAAAGAAAGGAGAGAGAGGAGGAGAACAUAACACUGUAUUUAUUUUUUAAAGAACUCACGUUUGUUUGCUGCAGGGUUUUCUUUUUAUUAAUCAAUUAAUUUUUUAUUAUUUUAUUAUUAACUAAUUAAUAUUUUCUCAAUUUCAUGGGGGGACCCCCCCAAAGCAUAAUACAACAAAUGUAUGUUAAGGGGAAGGUAUGUUGAGCAUAACAACCAGCUGUGGUGCACAUUCACCAGCCCUCAUGGAGAAUGUGCAUACUUCCCAGUCAAAUAUACCGUAUUUUUUGCUCUAUAAGACUCACUUUUUCCCUCCUAAAAAGUAAGGGGAAAUGUGUGUGCGUCUUAUGGAGCGAAUGCAGGCUGCACAGCUAUCCCAGAAGCCAGAACAACAAGAGGGAUUGCUACUUUCACUGCACAGCGAUCCCUCUUGCUGUUCUGGCUUCUGAGAUUCAGAAUAUUUUUUUUCUUGUGGUCUGGUGCAUCUUAUAGAGCGAAAAAUACGGUACAUAGUCUUCAACAGGGCUUGGAGAACUUGCAUUUAUUGAGGGUGUGAAGCAGGGGCAGUAAAGAGUGUGGCCAGAAGAGAGGUUAUUGACCGUGGAGAGGGACAAACAAGGAGGACUGCAUUUGUCCACCGGGCCUGACAUUCCCCACCCCUGCUCUGCCCCUCCUGCAACCUUGUCUGUCUUUGUGUCAUCCUGUGGCAGGUGUCUCGCCAUCCACUCACACAGUGAUCAACACAGCCAGCCACAAGAUUGUGAAGGUGUCCCCCAUCCCUGAGCGGGGCAUGUGGACUGUGACUGUCUCUCCCAGCGGCUCCUACGAGGUGGAAAUCGGAGGCAAGAGCUUGCUAGACAUAUCCUACCAGAUCAUGCAGAAACAGAAAGAGUAUGUGCUUCCGGUCCAGGGAAAACCUGUGAAAGGUAAGUUUGGGGGGAUUUGAAGCAGCCAUACUGAGGGCAGGAGUAUCUGAUGUUGUUGUUUAAGGCUUAAAAAGGGUAAAGGGACCCCUGACGCUUUACCCUUUAUUGGCCAAGGGAGCCGGCGUAUAGCUUCCGGGUCAUGUGGCCAGCAUGACUAAGCCGCUUCUGGCGAACCAGAGCAGCGCAUGGAAACUCCAUUUACCUUCCUGCCAGAGCAGUACCUAUUUAUCUACUUGCACUUUUACGUUCUCUCGAACUGCUAGGUUGGCAGGAGCAGGGACCGAGCAACGGGAGCUCACCCCGUCGCGGGGAUUCGAACCGCCGACCUUCUGAUCGGCAAGUCCUAGGCUCUGUGAUUUAACCCACAGCGCCACCCGCAUCCCUGUUUAAGGCUUACAAAGCACCUAAAGAGUUGUACAGAUAGUAAGGGCCAGAGGCUCUGGCUUCCUCCGCUCUUGAGGGGGGCCGACGUCACGCCAUAUGCCAAUGUAGCAUGCGUAGGGCUGCCGUACGUCCAGGAUUCAGCCCUCGUAAACAGCGUCCGGGUGGAAAUUGCUGAAACGUCCAGGGAAAUCCGGACGUAUGGCAGCUCAGAUCAAUAGUGUAGAUUCUGGCGGUUUUCAUUAAAAAUAGCUCAAGAACUCAACAACUUUGGCCAACGAAAGCUCAACAACUUUUGUGUCUGGAUUUUCACCUUUUGGAAUAUGGCAAUAAUGUGGCAACUCCAAUGGCAACCCAUGUCUAAAGUGUUUAUCCCCCCCGAUUUUCCUCAAAAACUUCAUUUUUUGGGAUGGGUGGGGGAGAUUUUGCAAAACAAGCUCAACAACAUUGGCCCAAAGUUGAAAUAAUAUGGCAACCCUAAGUAUGCACAACGUUACUGCUCGAUAUUGAGGGGGGGCCCAGCCCCGUCCUUAAGAACUUCGGGGGGGGCAGCUGGCAUGCCUGUUAAGGACACUUCCACACCUGUCAUUCGCAGCAUGUUUGCCAUGUCCCAUGCACUCAUUUUUGGGUGUUCAUCUGCAUUACACUGAGCUGUAGUUUAACCCGCUCAUCCCCUCUCCCCCAGUUAUGCAGGUUCCCUGUUUGCAGGCUUAAAGGGAUGGGGAUGGGGGGCAGGUUGGUGUCUCCUUUUGCCAUGAUGUUCUUGCUGGAGCACCCAUGGGAGGUGCUAUCUCCCAGUGAUACUUUCCCCCCCUGAAAAAAAAAAUUCAUUUUAUAACAAAAAUAAACAAUACAAACAGAAAAACUAACAAUGCAAACAAAUUCUUGGCUUAUCCUUAUUUUUUCUAAACAUUGUUAGGUGAGCUUCCCCAAGUCCCCCCUAUCUGAUUUUCAUUUUACCUCAUCUUUAGCAGUUUCAUAUAUCACAAUUUUUAACCAUUUUUUAUCACUUAGUUUUACCAUAAAAAUCUUCACGUUUUAUCACUGACAAAUAAUCCUAUUCUCUUCUACAGCCUAUGUCCACUUCCAAAGCUAUUCUAAGAUUUAAAUAUUAACAUGUUUUUUCAAAUAUUCUUUAAACUUCUUCCAAUCUUCUUCCACCGUCUCUUCUGUCUGGUCUCGGAGUCUCCCAGUCAGUUUGGCAAGUUCCAUAUAGUCCAAAUAUCUCCCAGUGACCCUUGGUCUGGAUGAGCUCAGUGGAGAUACUGAAGUGAUAGGUGCGGAUUCCCAAGGAUGUUCUUCUGAGUUCCUGCAUCUUUGUUCCAGGCUCCAACUAUACUGUCUCGCUGAGGCUGGUGGGUGGGGCUAAAGGUGCCUGGGUCCAGCGCCUGAUCCCUAUUUCUGGAUUGGGGAACCCCCUAGACUCCAUCACUUUGAACCAGACCUCUGAUGCCCUUGGCAAUGUCCUGGCUAUUGCCCCUGUUUUCUUGCACACUCCGGUAAGUAGCCUUUCCUCAUGUCAUUUGCUAAAGACUGGUGCCAGUUGCAGGGCCGGCUCUACCAUUGGGCAAGGGCAGGACCUCAGGUGCAGAACCAAAUGCAGCUUUCCAGUACUCCUACUAUGUUACUACCAAGACCUUCCUGGACUAACCCGGAGACAAAUGUCAGGACACGGGUGGCGCUGUGGUCUAAACCACUGAGCCUCUUGGGCUUGCCGAUCAGAAGGUUGGAGGUUCAAAUUCCCGCGACGGGGUGAACUCCUGUUGCUCUGUCCCAGCUCCUGCCAACCUAGCAGUUCGAAAGCACGCCAGUGCAAGUAGAUAAAUAGGUACCUCUGCGGCAGGAAGGUAAACGGCAUUUCCGUGCGCUCUAGUUUCCAUCACAGUGUCUCAGUAGCGGUUUAGUGAUGCUAGUCACAUGACCCAGAAAGCUGUCUGUAGACUAAGGCCGGCUCCCUUAGCCUGAAAGCAAGAUGAGCGCCUCAACCUCAUAGUCGCCUUUGAUUGGACUUAACCAUUCAGGGGUCCUAUACACACACACACAUACAUAUAUAUGAUAAAAAGGUAAAGGGACCCCUGACCGUUAUGUCCAGUCAUGAACGACUCUGGGGUUGUGACGCUCAUCUCGCUUUACUGGCUGAGGGAGCCGGUGUUUGUCCGCAGACAAUUUUUCCGGGUCAUGUGGCCAGCAUGACUAAGCCACUUCUGGCGAACCAGAGCAGCGCACAGAAACGCCGUUUACCUUCCCGCCAGAGUGGUACCUAUUUAUCUACUUGCACUUUGACGUGCUUUCGAACUGCUAGGUUGGCAGGAGCUGGGACAGAACAACGGGAGCUCACCCCGUUGCGGGGAUUCGAACCGCCGAUCUUCUGAGCCCAAGAGGCUCUGUGGUUUAGACCACAGCACCACCUGCGUCCAAUAUAUAUGAUACUACUAGGAAAAGAAAUGGUCGGGUAUGAUGGGAGCUGUAGUCCAAUGACUUCUGGAGGGCCACAGGUUCUCCUGCCCUGCUUUAAAAUAUCUUUAACAAUAAUUCUCUCUCCUCUACCUUCCAGACCACGCUGCUGAGUGUGGAAGGCCUGUCUCCAGAGAAUCUGCCCUUUUCGCGAGUCAGCAGCUACCCCAUCAGCACGGAGUCCGUGCAGAUUCUACCCGUGCCGGACCAAAACAGUGAGUAUGGUAUUCAAAGGCAGACUGCCUCCAACAAUGGAGGCAAAGCAUUAGCUCUCAUGACCAGUAGCAGCCACCUCCAACGGUGAGAUGGUGGUGGUGGUGGUGAUAAUAAUAAGAAUAAUAAGAAUAAUAAUUUAUUAUUUGUACCCCGCUCAUCGGGCUGGGUUUCCCCAGCCACUCUGGGCGGCUUCCAACAAAGAUUAAGAAUCUUCCAACAAAGAUUAAAAUGUCACACAUUAAAAACUUCCCUGAACUUCCCUGGGCUGUCUUCAGAUGUCUUCUAAAAGUCAGAUAGUUGUUUAUUUCCUUGGCUUCUGAUGGAAGGGCAUUCCACAGGGUGGGCGCCACUACCGAGAAGGCCCUCUGCCUGGUUCCCUGUGACCUCACUUCUCGCAGGGAGGGAACCGCCAGAAGGCCCUCAGAGCUGGACCUCAGCGUCCAGGCAGAAAUCCACCCAGCCACUCUGGGCAGCCCCCACAGAAUAUGAAAAACACGAUAAAACUUCAAACAUUAAAAACUUCCCUAAACAGGGCUGCCUUCAGAUGUCUUCUAAAAAUCUGGUGGUUGUUUAUUUCCUUGACAUCUGAAGGGAGGGCAUUCCACAGGGUGGGCGCCACUACCAAGAAGGCCCUCUGCCUGGUUCCCUACGACCUCACUUCUCGCAGGGAGGGAACCGCCAGAAGGCUCUCGGAGCUGGACCUCAGUGUCCGGGCAGAACGAUGGGGGUAGAGACUCUCCUUCCGGGUGCUGAGAGUUGCUAGGUGCCCCCUAUUCCCCCCCCACAUAGCUACAGAAUGGUUUGACAACCAAUGCGUCCUCCCAGGCUGAACGAUGGGGUUGGAGACACUCCUUCUAGUAUACUGGGCCGAGGCCCAGCUGCCAGUACCUGCCCAUGUUCUCCUAUCUAUCCAGGCACAAUGGCACCUGGCGAAAGUCUGGAGGUUUCUGUCAUGGUGGUGAAUGAAGGGACAGCUGCCGCCUUCUCCUUUAAAGUCUGGGACGACUUUGGUUUCCUGGAGAGCUUUACACCGACGGAAAGUUUCCUAAAUUCGGGAGAGAGCGUCGUCCUCAGGGCAACCUUCACGGCGCCUUUGAAGAACAGCAGCUUUACUUCCAGGUAGGACAGCGUUGCUGUAACGGUCUGGAACAGGAGAGGCAGGUUGAAGUGGGACCAUGGACAAGGAGCCAACAUUUGGGAGGUCUAUGGGCAGGAAGCAGUAGUCUCAAGACUAUGGGUAGGCAAACUAAGGCCCAGGGCCAGAUCCGGCCCAAUCGCCUUCUAAAUCCAGCGCACAGACGUCCCAGGAACCAGCGUGUUUUUACAUGAGUAGAAUGUGUCCUUUUAUUUAAAAUGCAUCUCUGGGUUAUUUGUGGGGCAUAGGAAUUUGUUCAUUCCCCCCCCCAAUAUAUAUAUAUAUAGUCCGGCCCCCUACAAGGUCUGAGGGACAGUGGACCGGCCCCCUGCUGAAAAAGUUUGCUGACUCCUACUCAAGAUGGACCAACUUUGAUGGUGUCAGUCUUCAGGGAAUUCUAUCCCUCCCCAGUAGCAGCAAGAAGCAGAGAAAAACAAGGAAGAGUCCUUACAAAUGAGUUUAUUCAGUGAUCACAGCGAGAGACAAAAGAAUGCAGCCUGACUCCCAAUAAUGGCGUUGCUCCAACUGAAUUCCUCCCCGCUUCCUUCCUAGCAACAGCACUUCCCCUUACAGGAGCUGACAGGGGCUAAUUGACUGUGACUCCUUUGCUCUUGCACUCUCAAUGAACGCCAUGAUCUGGGAGAAGGGGGGGUCAGAAACACUCUCCAGUGAUGAUGUGUCAGCUGGCUGCUCUGUCUCUGUCUCUCCCCCCCCCCCCCCGCUUCUCCCAACACCUCCCACCUCCUAACUGUUUGCCUGUGAGCUAUGACCUUCUUCUGAGCUAUGACCUUCCUCAAACCACUGCUGUAAUUUAAUAUGGUGUUACCUUGGUUCUUGAACAGCUUAGUUGUCAAACAAAUCAGCUCCCGAAUGCCACAAACCCGGAAGUAAGUGUUCUGGUUUGCGAACGUUUUUUGGAAGUUGAACAUCCGGUGCGGCUUCCGCUUGAGUGCAGGAAGCCACGCCUUGGUUUUUGAAUGGUUUCAGGAGUCAGACUCCUGGAACGGAUUAAGUUCAAGAACCAAGGUUCCACUGUACUGCCUUUCUCUUCUCUGGAAGCUUCAGGAGAAGGGGGUGGAUCGCCACCAUUCAGUGCCGGAUUUACGUAUAAGCUAAACAAGCUAUAGCUUAGGGCCCCACUCUCUUGGGGGGCCCCCCAAAAAAUUAAAGAAAAAAACUGGAUGUACAUUUACAAAAUAUAAGAUAAAAAACAAAAACAAAACCUACAUACAGCAACACUGUUUUGUGUUGUGUAGGCUCCUAUGACGUAAGGAAUGGGCCCCGCCUGCUGGCCUGCUCCCUAAAAUAUCACUGGUUUGCUCAUUUCUGUAUAUAUGGUGCCUACAUUCUGCAUGGACCAGUUGCAUGGCAACAUGAGCAAAUGGCUUUAGAUACCUGUUAGGUCCAUAAAUUACCAUAUAGCAAUAUAUUCAACACAAAAAACAGUGACACUUUGUUGUUGACAAAGGACAGCUGGACAUAUAAAGGGCCCCAUUACCUUCAGUAGCUUAGGGCCUCAUCAAACCUAAAUCCGGCCCUGCCACCGUUCCUCUUCAAUCUCGUCCCCUUCAGAUAUUCCCUGACAGAUGGGCACAAACAGGUUACAGGUUGCUGUUGUUGGUUUAUGUUUGUGCCACUGUGCAGUGCUUGGAGUCACAAGACUCUGUUUUGCAUACCAGAGAUUCCAGGCUGUUGGAAGUCUCACGGAAGACAGGAGAUGGAUGGGAUGUUACUGGUUUCCUGUUCCUUUGUUUUCCAGUUGCUCUCUGCUUUCACAGAGAGAGCAUGUAUAUUUCUUUUCUGUCUGCGUAGCUAGAAAUAAAGCAUAGCGAUGUAGCUCAUAUUUCUCGUCCUUCCCUGCGUGCUGGAUACUCUGUGUAAUGGGGGAACGUGCUUAGAUCCUCAUCAAAGGCUCAGGUCAUUAAUCACAUCGGAGGACUCAACCGGAAGAGUCGCUCAGUCGAACGCAAGUCCGACAGCUGUAUCCCAAAUCAGACCAUCAGUCCAUCCAGUUCAGUAUUGCUACACUGGCUGGCAGCAGAUCUCCAAGGUUUCUUUUCCAGCCCAACCUGAAGAUGAUUGAGCCUGGGACCUUCUGAAUGCAAAGCAACUGCUCUAUCGCUGAGACACAGCUUUUCCCUCGAUGCACUUUAGGGCCAUAGGAAGCUGCCUCAUACAGCGUCAGGCCAAUGGCCAGUCCAGGUCAAUACUGGCUGCCCUGACCCACGGUGGCUCUCCUGGGUUUCAGGCAGGAAAUAUUCCCAGCCCUGCCAGGAGAUGCCAGGGAUGGGACCACAGGUUUCGCCCAUGCAGAGUGAAUGCUCUGCUGAUGAGCAAUGGCUCUUACCUGGCUAAGGGGGGGUGGGAGCUGGUGCCAAGACUUAUGGAUUCCCUUGGCAAGGAAAGGCCCUCCAGAUGUUUAUGGCUGCAGCCUCCAUUCGCCACAGCCAGCAUGGAGAGUUAUAGUCCAAAAUACCUGGAGGUUGCCAGGUUGUUGAUAGCUAUGCUGAACUACCCCUUCUCAUCUACACUCCUUAAGGUAAAGGUAAAGGGACCCCUGACCAUUAGAUCCAGUCAUGACCGACUCUGGGGUUGCAGCGUUCAUCUCGCUUUAUUGGCUGAGGGAGCCGGCUUACAGCUUCCAGGUCAUGGGGCCAGCAUGACUAAGCCGCUUCUGGCGAACCAGAGCAGCGCACGGAAAUGCUGUUUACCUUCCCGCCGGAGUGGUACCUAUUUAUCUACUUGCACUUUGACGUGCUGUCGAACUGCUAGGUUGGCAGGAGGAGGGACCAAGCAACAGGAGCUCACCCCAUCGAGGGGAUUCGAACCGCCGACCUUCUGAUCGGCAAGUCCUAGGCUCUGUGGUUUAACCCACAGCGCCACUCCUUACCCCCCAAAAAAAUGCACUCUGUUCAUCAUUACCUAAUGUUCUUUCAGCACCGCAACGUUCACAGCUAAAAGCUCAGCAACUCAAAACUACCUGAGACUGCCCAUCACUGUCAUUUCUGAAAAUGAUACGGUGAGUUCUCACUCCACGUUGAUUAUUCACUAAUAUGUGAUAGUCAGUGAAGAAUUGCCUGCUGCCUAAGAAUGUAAAAAUGGAUGAUUUUCUGUUCUGCCCUGCUGUCCUGUCCCCCCACUGCAAUUCAUCUUCCACUGCCCCAAAUUAUGUCAUUUGUCUCUCAGUUUGUUGCGGUGAAAUUAUGUAGCUUACGUAAUUUGCAUAAUUAAUUUUGCAGGUUACGUAAGUUAUGUUGUCGUCCACCCCCAUUCGUUUAUAAUGCAAAGGAAACACAAUCCAAAUUGGGGGGGGGGAGACAUAUAAUCAAUUAUAUAUUUUUUAUGGGCUGAAAGCAACAACAACAGUGAAUACCAAUCUUAUUUGCUGUAUUGAUUUUUGCUCCAGAUAUGGGACAAAUAAGUGAACACCUGCAGUUUCCGCUCCCGUUUCUAUUAUUGUGAGAAUUCUCUUACAUUCCUAAAUGCCUCCCAGUUUGAGAAAUGUUGUUGUCUAGUCGUUUAGUCGUGUCCGACCCUUCGUGACCCCAUGGACCAGAGCACGCCAGGCACUCCUGUCUUCCACUGCCUCCUGCAGUUUGGUCAAACUCACGCUGGUAGCUUCGAGAAAACUCUCCAACCACCUCGUCCUCUGUCGUCCCCUUCUCCUUGUGCCCUCCAUCUUUCCCAACAUCAGGGUCUUUUCCAGGGAGUCUUCUCUUCUCAUGAGGUGGCCAAAGUAUUAGAGCCUCAGCUUCAGGAUCUGUCCUUCCAGUGAGCACUCAGGGCUGAUUUCCUUCAGAAUGGAUAGGUUUGAUCUUCUUGCAGUCCAUGGGACUCUCAAGAGUCUCCUCCAGCACCGUAAUUCAAAAGCAUCAAUUCUUUUGCGAUCAGCCCUCUUUAAUCCGUGUGUGUGUGUGUUUUUAAUAAAAAUCUGCAUGCAAAUUUGUAUUUAAACAUACACACACACACAUGCAUAUAUAAACAUAUAUAUAUUCAUGUAUUUAAAUAAUGUUUAAAUACAAAUUUGCAUGCAGAUUGGUUUUUGAAAACACACACACAUUAAUGUGAAAAUGGGACUUAUGAAUCAUAGAAUCAUAGAGAAACUGACAUAGACAAGCUAUAGACUGAUUGAUCCAUCUGCCAUUCAAGGGUUGCCAACAUGGUGCCCUCCAGACUAUAAUUCUCAUCAGCCUCAAUCAGCGUGGCCAAUAGUCAGGAGUUGUGUGUAUUGUAGUCCAAAAUGUCUGGAGAGCACCGUGUUGGCUACCCGAGUCCUAGCAGAAAGUGGUCUUUACCGAUGGCUACUCUUGGUUCUUCCUAACCAACCUGUGCUCCAUCCAAACAGAAAACUGAUGAGAUCCCACCAAACUACGCGCUUCUAGACCUUUACAUGCCUUGUGUCAGCAAAUUCCAGCACAAGCCUACCUGCUCUCGGCACAUUUGGAAAAUGAGGUUCUCUGCAAUGGAUAAUCACAGCGCUGUCACCGUCCAAAUCAGUGCAAAUCCUUCUGGUCUAUCCUGCAGCCCACGGGGGACUGAUGGCAGCAAGGAAGUCAUGUGUCACUAUCAGUAUGUAUAUCCAGUUUCUAGAAAUCUGAUGGCAUGGUGCAGAAAAUGACGACUGAUCAUGGAGCUCCACAGCAGAGGCUGAUUCCUGUUUACCUCUGCUUGCUUUUUUUUUAAAUUUGCAUUUUGUUUAUUUGUUAACAUUCUUAUAUUACAUUGGUAAACGUUGUCAUAUUAUAUUACAUGACUUACUAUAAUUUCCAAUAUGUAUACAAAAAUUAUAUACAAAUUUUAUAUACCUAGAAAGAAAAUGAAACACAAAAAAGAACAAAGAGAAAAAACAAAAACAAUUCCCCCCCAAAAUCAUAUACAUACCAACACACUAGACUUCCUGUCUAUCCCGUUGUAUAUUCCUUUUUUACAAAUGAAUGUACUCUUAUUAUUGUAUAUUUCUUUACAUUUUAUCUAAUACAUUCCUAUAUCAAUAUGUGCUCUUAGUCUUAUAUCUCAACUCAGUCUCGCUCCAACGUCAAUCAAAUGCUAGCAUAGAUAGCGAACCUUUACUGUAUUUUUGAACAUAUGUUUUAUAUCUAUCCCACUUUUCCAUAAUUUUUUGUUUUGAAUUGCCUCUCAGGGUAUUUGUUAACUGCGCCAUUUCAGCAAAUUCUUGUAGCUUGUUUUGCCAAUCCGUUAUUGUCGGGGCUUCUUGUUCCUUCCGCCCCUUUGCCACCCAAGUCCGAGCUGCAGCCGUUGCAUAUAAGAAUACCUCCCUAAAGGCCUUCGGGAUGUCCCUGCCAAUAAUGCUUGCUUUCUUUUUAACUAAUGUUAACAAUAUUUCCCCAUUGUUGUAUAUAGGGUGGGGUUUUUUGCAUAUCAUGAGACCAUGACCUCUGAAUCACAUGCCCAUCAGAGCUUCCCUUCCUCUCAUCUUUGGUUUAUCGGCCUUGGGUCUUCUUUUGUAGGUCGAACUGCUGUUCUCCUUAUGCAGAAUUCCUGAUCAGCGAUGAAAACGGGAACACAAACACUUUUACUGUAGACUACAGACGGCCCCGUCCUGCCUCCGCCUCAUAAACCUACAACAGGUAUAACACGCAGUAGCAGUAGCUCUCCAAUGUUUGGGGCAAUGUUCCCUUCCUGUAACUGUAGGGAUAGGGGACAAACCCAGCUCAGUUUGCAUUUAAAGGCUUUCCUUUAAAUUCACACUUUCUGAAACAAUGCACACAAAACUGAAACACAGCGUUGAAUUUUGUGACGCAGUUCUCCAAACAAAAAAUGUUGGCAGAAAUGCAUGUAUUACAGUGGUACCUCAGGUUACAAAUGCUUCAGGUUACAGACUCCGCUAACCCGGAAAUAGUACCUCAGGUUAAGAACUUUACCUCAGGAUGAGAACAGAAAUCGCGCGCUGACAGCACGGCGGCAGCGGGAGGCCCCAUUAGCUAAAGUGGUACCUCAGGUUAAGAACAGUUUCAGGUUAGGAAUGGACCUCCAGAACGAAUUAAGUUCUUAACCAGAGGUACCACUGUAUUAGGGGAAAGUGUAUGGGGAAAGGAUACAUGCAAAACAUUCAAAAAUACAUUUUAUUAGGGGGAACUCUAUAUAGUGUAAAAACCGCACACAAACAUGCGCAUUGUUAAAUAGUGGGAAAGAUGGACGAAGGACACAGCUCUGUUAGAUUCACAGCUCUUUAUUACAGCAGUUAGAAUUGCUCCUGUAGAUAGACUCAGUGCAGCCUAGCUGGCUGCUUUAUAUAAUACUAAGUAACUUGUAACAGUAGGGACGCAGUUGGCGCUGUGGGUUAAACUACAGAGCCUAGGACUUGCCGAUCAGAAGGUCAGCGGUUCGAAUCCCCACGACGGGGUGAGCUCCUGUUGCUCGGUCCCUGCUCCUGCCAACCUAGCAGUUCGAAAGCACAUCAAAGUGCAAGUAGAUCAAUAGGUACCGCUCCGGCGGGAAGGUAAACGGCGUUUCCGUGCGCUGCUCUGGUUCGCCAGAAGCGGCUUAGUCAUGCUGGCCACAUGACCCAGAAGCUGUACGCCGGCUCCCUAGGCCAAUAAUGCGAGAUGAGCGCCGCAACCCCAGAGUCAGUCAUGACUGGACCUAAUGGUCAGGGGUCCCUUUACCUUUAACUUGUAACAGUAACAACUCCCAACUAGCUAACCAAUCAGAGAGCGACAGUUCUCAAUCCUUUAUUUGCAUACUGGCGAUUGUGCUAAACUAGGACAUGGGAAACUAGGGUUCAAAUCCCUUUAUAUAAAUAUAACAAUAUUUUUUUAAAAAAUCAUUAAAAGGAGUUAGUGAGGGAAUAACUCCAAACGCGUAAGGAGUUAGCAGAGGAACAGGAGAGUUGCUAUCUUUUUCUCUCGACAGAAGCUCUGUGCCCAGCUGUCUGGCAGAAAUUCAACAGAAGCAGCUUCUCCCAUUGCUGCUUCUCUAGGUCAGAGUUCAAGCUGGACCUGCUGAACAUCUGCCUUGAACUACGGAAGAAGCAAAGGGGCACCCCUAAAGUCCUCCCUGGGUCUGGGGAUUCGAGAGAGGGAGGACAUUGACAGAUACCUGGUGCUUUUUAUGCAGAACCUUUUCUUUUCUCUUUCUCUCUCCUAACAGCUGAACUGCAUUAUAUGACGAUCACAAAAGGCAAUAAGCUUUGGAGAGUCACAUUUCUGGUUUCGUGGUGCCAUUUGAAUCGGGAAGGAGAUACUAUCCAGAUGUUAAACUGCCAAGUGGUGAUCCAGCCACAUUGGCAGCCUCCAUUACACCCACAGCCAAAUAAAACAAACUUCAGAAAGCA